UUUGAUUCUGGCUCCGUUGAACGCUGGCGGGAUGCUUUACACAUGCAAGUCAGACGGCAGCACGGACUUCGGCAGGUCUGGUGGCGAGAGAUGUAGAACUGGUGGAAAUCUGUCUGGAACGUGCCUAGUAGCGGGGAUAACUACGCAGCGUAGCCAAUAUAUACAUACAUGAAGGAAAGCGGGGACCUUCGGACUCGCACUAUUAAGAAGGCAGCCGAUACAUCAGUUUAGCUAGUUGGUGGGGUAACGGCUCGCAAGGCGACGAUCCGUAGCUGGUUUGAAGGACUGACCAGCCACACUGGGACUGAGACACGGCCCAGACUCCACCACGGGAGAGGCAGCAGUGGAGUGCCGGACAAUGGGGAAACCCUGGUCAGCGUACGCGUGUGCGAUGAAGACUGGGUUGUAAAGCACUUUUGGCGGAAAGAAACGGCACGGAUAAUACCGUGCAACUGAAGGCGAUAUACGAAUCGCCACAAACAACACCGUGCCAGCAGCCGCGGUAAUACGUAGGGUGCAAGCGAUUAAUCAGAUUACUGGGCGUAAAGCGUGCGCAGGCGAUUCCGGAAAAGAAGAUCUUGAAAUCAGAGCUUAACUUUGGAACUGCAUUUUUAACUACCGAGCUAAGAGUGUGUCAGAGGAGAUGAGCCGCGUGUAGCAGUGAAAUGCGUAGAUAUGCGGAGGAACACCGAUGGCGAAGGCAGCCUCCGCAGGAUAACACCGACUCAUGCACAGCACCAGGGAGCAAACAGGAUUAGAUACCCUGGUAGUCCGCCUAAACGAUGUCAACUAGGCGUGUUGAGUUUUCGGGCGCAGUGCGGCACCUCCAGCUAACGCGUGGUGAAGCCGCCUGGGGAGUACGGUCGCAAGAUUAAAACUCAAGGAAUUGACGAGACCCGCACAAGCGGUGGAUGAUGUGGAUUAAUUCGAUGCAACGCAGAAGGCCUUACACUAUUCUCUGACAUGGAAUCCCGAAGAUUUGGGAGUGCUCGCAAGAGAACCGGAACACAGGUGCUGCAUGGCUGUCGUCAGCUCGUGUCGUGAGAUGUUGGGUUAAGUCCCGCAACGAGCGCAACCCUUGUCAUUGAAUUUGUACGAAAAGGGCACUCUAAUGAGACUGCCGAUGGUCGAGCCGGGAGGAAGGUACAGAUGAGCGUCAAGUCCUCAUGGCCCAUAUGGGUAGGGCUUCACACGUCAUACAAUGGUCGGGACAGAGGGUCGCCAACCCGCGAGGAGGCCAAUCCCGAAACCGAUCGUAGUCUGGAUCGCAGUCUGCAACUCGACUGCGUGAAGUCGGAAUCGCUAGUAAUCGCGGAUCAGCAUGUCGCGGUGAAUACGUUCCCGGGUCUUGUACACACCGCCCGUCACAUAUGGGAGUGGUUUUGCCAGAAGUAGUUAGCCUAACCGUAAGGAGGGCGGUCUACCGUACGGUUCCUUGACUGGGAUAGGCGUCGUAACAAGGUAACUCU
rnacentral:rRNA from 1 species